UACGUAGGGGGCAAGCGUUGUCCGGAAUUAUUGGGCGUAAAGCGCGCGCAGGUGGUUUCUUAAGUCUGAUGUGAAAGCCCACGGCUCAACCGUGGAGGGUCAUUGGAAACUGGGGAGCUUGAGUGCAGGAGAGAAGAGUGGAAUUCCACGUGUAGCGGUGAAAUGCGUAGAGAUGUGGAGGAACACCAGUGGCGAAGGCGGCAUCCUGGACCGAGAUUGACGCUGAGGCGCGAAAGCCAGGGGAGCAAACGGG
rnacentral:rRNA from 1 species